rnacentral:misc_RNA from 1 species
AACACUGUUAACCUGCGGUACCUGCGGAAGGAUCAUUACCGAGUUAUACAACUCAUCAACCCCUGUGAACUUACCUACAACGUUGCUUCGGCGGGAACAGACGGCCCCGUAAAACGGGCCGCCCCCGCCAGAGGACCCCUAACUCUGUUUUUAUAAUGUUUUUCUGAGUAAACAAGCAAAUAAAUUAAAACUUUUAACAACGGAUCU